UACAGAAUUACAGUCGUCUCUCUCAACUAUGCCAAUAGAGCUCUGCUAGGGUUUGCUUCUUCGCCUCGAACAAGUCCGCUCAAAGCUCAGUAUUGUUUUCUGCUCCAUUUUCUAAGUCUAUCUCUCGAGUUGCUGUGCUCCGUGGUUCAGUGUCGAAGCCUCGUGUAACCCCUUUCCAGAUGCGAGGAACACCCGUGGGCAACAGGUAGGUGAUGGUUCCGCUGCAUAGUCCACAUGGACUGGACAUUAAUUUCUUAAUGGGCUUUUCUUUAGGGCUAGGGUCAUGUACUUGUUCGUCCUUGAAUUUAUAUACUUUAUGUUAAACUCUUUAUGUAGCUUUCUUUUGGGCAUCGUGGUGUGCCUUGGGUGGUAAAGAUUUAA